CUGAAAGACGACUUUAAGAUGACAGCAGUUCCCUGAGUCCCUGUAAAACUCCCCAGAUGAUGCCUCUCAGUACAGCAAACAUCUCCAGGGAAUCAAGAGAGCAGCAGCUGGAGAUGUUUCUGAAGUCUCAGACCAAUAGACUUGGUGCCAAGGUGAUGGCGCGAKUCAACCACCUGAAUAUUGUGGGCAAGGCUAAUURACCCUCUACACCAGAGAAUAAAUAGUGCUAUAUUUGMUAUGAGGCACUAAGGUUGAUGCAGGAAAUAUCAGAUUACAGUACCAACAUACAUUGACUGWUAUAUUUCAUAUAAUACAUUUCACUGUAAAAUAUAUCAUUACUGUAGCUGCUAAGUGCUAUUGUAUAGUUACCACACCACUGAUGCUGUGCCCAUUGUCUUGCAUUUACACUGACCAAUUCAMSCAAGGACAUUUUCAUUUAAAACAGUCUUUAUGUACUUUAAAGUUUGCCUUCUUGUUUUAUUUAAUUAA